UACGUAGGUGGCGAGCGUUGUCCGGAUUUACUGGGCGUAAAGAGCGCGCAGGCGGUCGUACAAGUCGCGUGUGAAAGCCCCCGGCUUAACUGGGGAGGGUCACGCGAUACUGUUCGACUCGAAGGCAGGAGAGGGAAGCGGAAUUCCCGGUGUAGUGGUGAAAUGCGUAGAUAUCGGGAAGAACACCCGUGGCGAAGGCGGCUCUCUGGGACGGUACUGACGCUGAGACGCGAAAGCGUGGGGAGCGAACAGG
rnacentral:rRNA from 1 species